UACAGAGGGGGCGAGCGUUAAUCGGAAUUACUGGGCGUAAAGCGCGCGUAGGCGGCUUUGCAAGUCGGGUGUGAAAUCCCCAGGCUUAACCUGGGAACUGCAUUCGAGACUGCGUUGCUAGAGUAUGGGAGAUGGAAGUGGAAUUUCCGGUCUAGCGGUGAAAUGCGUAGAUAUCGGAAGGAACAUCAGUGGCGAAAGCGACUUCCUGGACCAAUACUGACGCUCAUGUGCGAAAGCGUGGGCAGCCAACUGG
rnacentral:rRNA from 1 species